UGGUGAAACUAACUAUGGUACAUCCUACCUUAGAAUAAAACCCAGCAUAAAAAGGAACAACUUUUUGACACAUGCAAAAACUUGGAUGGCUAUCAAGGGAACUGGGCUGAAUUUUAAAAAAUCAAUCCCCAAAGGUUACAUAGGCUACAGCUUCAUUUAUAUAACAUUCUGGAAACAACAAAAAUAUAGCAAUAGAGAACAGGUUGCCAUGGGUGGGCUGGUGGGGGAGGAGCAAGAGGGAGAUAGGUGGGGUUAUUCAAAGGCAACACAAGAGAUAGUGAGUGAUACACAAACCUUCACACGUGAUAAAAUAGCAUAGAAACACACACACACACACACACACACACACGACAAAGGAAAUAUAAAUAAGAUCUGGGAAUUAGACCAACGUCAAUAGCCUGACUCUGAUAUUGUACCAAGUUUUGCAAGAUGCCACCACUGGGAAACUGGGUAAAGAGCUCGUGAUAGCUCUCUGUGUUAUUUCUUACCAUUGCAUGUGAAUCUAUAACUACUCAAAAUAAAGUGUUCAAUUAAAUUUUAAAUAUUAAAUGUAAUCUGGUAUUUUCAUACCAGCUACUUUAACCUUGGUGUAGGGAGAAAGAGUUCAGGUGUGAAGCCACAGAAAGAACAGUGUGGGAGCCUGGAAAAAGGUGAAAGCAGAGGACAAAAGCAAAGGCUGGAGUUAUUUCUGCACGUGUGUGUGUGUGUGUGUGAAGGGAAGGUAUGACCAGGGGUUAUUUUGGGGUGCCAGGACAGGGUGGGGAGGGAUCUCUUAGCAGUGGAUAUGCCCUGUGUGCUAGUAAGGAGGCUUCUAGAUGCAAAGAAGGCAAACAGAUGGCAGCUCCUUAUGGAGCCCAAAUUCCAACCAUGAGGUUUUUUUAAGUUCAAUAACUCAAACAGACACCAUUAGAUAGAGUUAGAAUCACUCCAGCGCUGGAACCCAAUCUUUGUGUGUGUAAUGGCUCCAAACCGUAGAGAACAGUGGAUUAUCUUCAGGUGGCUAUGAAUGGGGCUGUUUUAGUCACCACAACUUCAACUGUGCUUCUGUUGGUUAUCAAACUGCAAUGGCCUUCAUCCCCUUAGACCUUGGGUGGGCUCCGUGGACCCUGAAGACUGGGUUUCCUCUGGGCCUCACCCCAUCCCAGAGCCAGAUGGGCACAGAAGGGACAAACAACAGCACACUGACUGGUUGGAGCAGGGCUAGGAGUCCAAGAGGUUAGUGAGGAAAAACAAAACAACUUUAGGACUUUAGGUUCUGUUCAAGGCUGCAACCUUCAAUACUGAUUUCUUAAUAGCAAUGCACGGCCUCUACCUUACUGGUCCCUUAACCCCACUUUGGAAAGCAAGUUCUACUGCAUGUGUUUCCUAAUAGCUCUAGUUCUGAUUAUCUGUCAUCUUGGUUCAUUCGCUGUCCUUCCAGCACUCACUGUGGUCCUGUAUUUCAAAGGCACUUGAUGCCCUUUAUUUAGAUGUCUUAAUGAACCUCUAACCAGGCAUUUCAGCUUGAACAAUGAGAUCUAUUUUGUUCCCUUUCCAGAUGGCCCACCAGAGUAAAAUAGAUGGCUUGGGGUAAAUAUGGAAAAAAGAUGAGUUUUGGGGCCAGAUAUAUCUGUGCUUGCCAACUCUGUGAUUUCAUCAAGCUUGUCUCUGAAUCUGCAUGGCAAAAGGGUUAAAAGAACAGGCUUUAGGAUCGGAUCACUUGAUUUGAAUCCCAGGACCACCGCACACAGCCGGGGUGUCCUUGGAUCAAUUAGUGAAUGUCUUUAAACCUCUGUUUUUUCACCUGUCAAAGAGUUAUCUUCACAGCUAAUCAUCCUCCUUCCUUACUAAUAAACCCUUAGUUUUCAGCUGUGCACAUGGCCUUCUAAAUCAAGACCCUAUCUUUUCAGCCUCCUCUGAGCUGGGUGUGGCCAUGUGGCCAUGUGACCAUGUUCUGAAACACCAUGUGCCGUUUCUGGGAAGUGUACUUAAAGGAAGGGUGUAUGCUCGUCUUCACCUCUUCCUUCAUCUUGUUUCCUGGAAGGCAGGAGCUAAGCAGUUAUCUCAGACUCUUAACAUGAGGGCCACACUCUAGGGCUGGCAGAGCUGAAAGCGAAAAGAAGCCGCUGUCUCUGAACAGUUCCAACUUUUACUUUUUUUUUUUUUUUUUUUUUUUGUCUUUUUGUCUUUUCUGGGGCUGCUCCCGAGGCAUAUGGAGGUUCCCAGAAAAGGCAAAAAAAAAAAAGAAAGAGAGAGAGACUGUUUUGCCAAACUUUGAAUCUGGGCUGGCCUUGUUAUUGGCCUUAACCAAUAAAAUGUGGCAGAUGUGUAAGUUGUGAAGCCUGGAUUCAAGAAAUCCUGCAGCUCCUGCUUUUGUCCUCAUGGGCCACUAUCCUGAGAGACUAUGACGUAAGGCAGUCAGCUGAGUCUACUGGAGGAUGAGAAGCCAAGUGAAGAACCAAGGCACCCUGAGCCAACAGUGUGCACUAAUGGCCAUAAUGAUUAGUCCAAAUGUAUCCAAAAUUUGUCCUUACCCCUGUCCUAUCUCACAUGUGAAUCCAUCCUCUGUCUCUAUGUGUGAUGCCAGAGAUAAGCCCAUGUCUACUUUCCCAGUGAGGAUCUUCCUCGUUUAUUAAUACAGCUCCACCUUGUUAAGCUAAGGGUGUUCUGUGCAGAAGCCUGCCAAAUGCUUGUCUCAGUCCAUUCAGCUGCUAUAGCAAAAUGCUAUAGACUGGGUGGCAUAUAAACCACAGAAAUUCAUUUCUCACAGUUCUGGAGAGAAAAAGCCUGAGAUCAAGGUGCCAGCAUGAUCCAGGGAGGACUCCCUGCCAAGUCAGAUUUUUGUAUUCUCACAUGGAAGAAAGGGCUAGGUUAUUACUCUGGGGCCUCUUUUAUUAAAAGGGCACUAAUCCUGGAGAAAACACUUAUGGUUGCCAAGGGGGAGGGGGAGGGAGUUGGAUGGCCUGGGAGCCUGGGGUUAGUAGAUGCAAACUACUGCACUUGGAGAGGAUAAGCAAUGAGAUCCUGCUGUAUAGCACAAGGAACUAUAUCUAGUCACUUGUGAUGGAACAGGAUGGAGGAUAAUGUGAGAAAAAGAAUGUGUAUAUAUGUAUGACUGGGUCACUUUGCUGUACAGCAGGAAUUGACAGAACAUUGCAGAUCAACCAAUAAAUUAAAAAACAGGGCACUAAUCCUAUUAUGAGGGCUCUGACCUUUUAACCUAAUCACCUCCCAAAGCCCCCCCCCCCUUCUAAUACAAUCAUACUGGGCUUUAGGAUUUAACAUAUGAAUUUCAAGAAAGGCAAACAUUCAGACCACAGCAAACCUAACUAGCGUCCGCCUGCACACAGAGCCGGGUCUAUAGAGAUAACUAGAGGCUUUGGUGUGUAUUUUUUAAAAUAAAGAUGCAGAUAUUUAUCCAUAGUCACAUAUAUAGUACAUUAACAUAUCAAUGACGGGGAAGGUGACCAGGUUUUAAAUGAUCAUAUCUAUUUUUAAACCAGCAUUUUUUAUCAGCCAUUUAGAUUUCAGGGCACAUUUUACUUCUCAUUUCACUUGACACAUGAGAAAAUUGUUGCAAGCUAGUUGAGCUGUAAGGUGAACUUGACUAUGAUAAUGGGACCCAGCUCAGCAAAGACAGCAAGAUCAGUUGACCAGCGUUCUGUUCUCAGAACAGAAGAUCAAUCUGGGCCUUUCUUCAGUUCUGAACUCUGGGGCAGGUCAUGGUGGCACCACAAGGCUCCCUCAACCAGCCAGGAAACAUUGGCCCAGACCUCCCCUGAGCUCAAGGCAAGAGGCUGCCAGUGUGGUCUUGGGUUGAUCCCUAACGGCCACAUGGAUCUGUAAUUGACUUUUCUUGGUGAGUCAAAGAAAUUAUGUUACUAAGAACAUAAGCACCUGCCAGAAGCUGAGACGCUGUCCCUGGAGAUAGAAGUUCUUGUGAAAAUCAAGAAUAAAGGGAAUAGGAACAAGGGAAAAUGAGGCCAGCAAUAGAAAAUACGUGGAACUAGAAGACAGUUUCUUGUUUGAUCUGACUUCAGACUGGUUGUUUGGGGCCUUGGGGGAAAAAAAAUCACUCAGUGUUUGUUUUUGAACCUCGCUUCCUCCACUGUAAAAUCAGAGGUGCCCUUCCAACCUUGUGGGGGUUAUUAGAAGCUAAAAUGAGACCAUGUGUAAGAAAGGGUGUUAAGAGAAUGAAAGGCUUAGCAGUGAAACAAACAAGCCGACCUGCCUUUCUUUUCAGCCUCAACGCAGAACAGACUCCAGGCUAUAGUCAGACCAGCUUUUCCCAUGCAAGUUGUUGUGGUUCCUGACGUGUUGAUACUUGUGCAGAGCUUAUGCAUUGUUUCAAAAGAAAGCUCCUUUUAUUGUGACAUUGUGAAAUCGUUGCCCUAGCAAACGAUUAUAGCUAAAAGCGUACGAUUCCUGAUCUGAACACCAAAAUUUCCCUAAGAGCGUGCCAAGGAGGGCUUAUUUCAAGGGACAGAUGAGCUCGAAGGAACAAAUGGGGUUGGGGCCAGAAAUGGAGAGAUUCUUGCUAGAAACAGAGUUGGAACCAAGCCCAAGAAGGCCUGAGAAAGAAGCCAGAGUGUCUCAAGAGGGAUGGUGGGUGGGGCUGCAGGAAGAGGGGGAAUACACUGAGAAGAGGCACAUCAGAGUUUUAAAGGGCUUAUGCAUCCACCAUUUCACUGACUUCUCACAAGAACCCUACGUUGCGUGUAUCAUGUUGACCCUCAUGAACCUGCCAUACCAGCUCAGAGAGGUUAAGCAGCUUUCACAAGGCCACACAGUUAAGCAGCAGAGCGUGGCAGGGAAAUGAAGUGAGGUAGUUUGGGAAGUGAGCACAUUUGAACUUUUUCCCGCACAACUUCUCCAGGCCUUUGCUUUUCACUGUCAUAUGUUGCUAAGGACCCACACCAGCCUCAAGAGAGGAGUGAGUUGUAAAUGGCAUUUGAAGGUCUAGCAGGGCCAGAGUUUCAAUGGACAGGCACACACACACAAAAAAACCUGCCUUUAAAAAAAAAAAUCCUUAACUCCUCAUUUAUCACCAAACCAAACUCCAUUUGUGGGUCUCCUAGGGCUGCUCGGCCCCACCUGUGCUCCGGCUUCAGCAGCUGCUUCUAAUAAUCCUGGGUGAACACGGGGCCUCUGCCUGCUUUUCAGGUGCCUGAUGCCAGGACCAAUCUGGAUAAGUGAAAUGUGGGGCUCAGGAUCCAGCUUCCCCAGGGGACUGCUUGGAGGAGACAGGCCACACAGUCAGAGCUGUGGGGGCAUGAGCACGCCAUGGAGAGAACCGUGACCCAGGAAAGGCAGGAGAUAGAAAAGCGCCAGGAAAUCAAGUCCUUUU
rnacentral:lncRNA from 1 species